rnacentral:rRNA from 1 species
GACGAACGCUGGCGGCGUGCUUAACACAUGCAAGUCGAACGAUGAAGCCGGAGCUUGCUCUGGUGAAUUAGUGGCGAACGGGUGAGUAACACGUGAGUAACCUGCCCUUGACUCUGGGAUAACUGCUAGAAAUGGUAGCUAAUACCGGAUACGACCCUCGGAGGCAUCUCCAGGGGGUGGAAAGAAUUUCGGUCAAGGAUGGACUCGCGGCCUAUCAGCUAGUUGGUGAGGUAAUGGCUCACCAAGGCUACGACGGGUAGCCGGCCUGAGAGGGUGACCGGCCACACGGGGACUGGGACACGGCCCAGACUCCUACGGGAGGCAGCAGUGGGGAAUAUUGCACAAUGGGCGCAAGCCUGAUGCAGCAACGCCGCGUGAGGGAUGACGGCCUUCGGGUUGUAAACCUCUUUUAGUAGGGAAGAAGCGAAAGUGACGGUACCUGCAGAAAAAGCACCGGCUAACUACGUGCCAGCCGCCGCCGUAA